ensembl:lncRNA
AUAGACUAGAAACUAUAUUCUAAGAAAGUUCAGAAGUUCUUGGUAAUGAAUCAGGAAUGUAGCAGAACUGAAUCAAAGUCUGCAAGAUCCCAAUCCACUCUGAAUUACUGCUCUUUGUCUUGCCUAAGUAGUUCAUAUACUUUUGCCGCUGGAAAAUAGGGGUGUCCAUUCAACUGUUUCCCAUUUCAACUGCUAAUUACAUAAGUUCAUACUAUCUUCCCAGUAACAGAGAGUCUCAAAGAAUGCAUUCAUGUUCAUUCUUUGAGACAUAAGCACAUGGCUUAACUACAGAACAAGGUUAUUAUCACUUGCACUCAGGGGGAAAGGAAAUAGCUAUUGCAAAUUCAUGCAUGCUUAUCUGUCUGAGAAGCUCUUUGGUGAAUUUAGGCCCUAAGGAAACAGUUUACACCCAACACACAAAACAGAAUUGGAAUGAUCAAACCAAGUGGCUAUGGAUUUUGGACACCUGAGAAGUGGCAUUCUCAGCAUAUAAGAAUAUUUUUCACUUCAAAGUCACAUUUCUCCUUUUACAUUUAAAAAGGCUAGCCUACCAAUGGGGUUUUUGGAAAGAAUGAUGUUAGUUGAGUUGAUUUUCCUGAUAUAUAAGUCCUUUGGAGUCCAUUCCAAGCAGCUGGAUCAGAGGUUAUUUUUUUAAUGGUCCUGAUUACAUAAGAUGUUAGCCCAGGCUAAUGUUUCAGAACCUGAAAAAUAACCUGAACUAUUUUAAAAUGACACAGCACAACUGCCCAGCUUAGAAUUUCUUUACUUUUUUUUAACUGAUAUAUUUAAAAGUUAAAAUAGAGAUACCAGUUUUACCAAAGAUACAUAUUACUAAUUCUCAGCAAAAAAUAAAAUAAAAUAAAACAACAAAAACCCACCAUAAUUUAAGGAAGGAAAAUUGAAACAUAGUUUGUCUUAAAGAUUUAGCAGUCGUGCUUUAAGAUACAUUUUCAACUCCUGUGUUCUGAAGUUUCUAUUCCCUUGGUGCCAGUGAAUUUGUAUAUGAAGGGAAAAUGCCUGCUUUUUUUUUUUCUUUAACAGCUGUAACUAGAUUUCUUGCUAAACUUUUGAAUUUGCCCUAAGUUGUCAUUCAACGUGAGACAUUGGCUUUGCUGAUCUCUAGGGAGAAGACAUGCAAAAACUGAGAUGGAAUUGUAAUAAAGAUAUUUGGCCCUCGACUUUGUCUUAGCUGUUAAAAAAAAAACUGUUUUUAGUAUUUUUGUUAAAUAUUUGCAAAGGGAAACAUUUUCUACAGAGGAUUAAUUAAUUUCAAGAAAAAUAUCUUGAGUUUUAAGAAUAAACAUGUCUCCAGAAGAGGAGACCAUCAAUUUUAUAAGCUGUCACAACUCUCCCAACAUUUGGGGAAGUGACUCUUUUUGUUAAGACAUUUGAAACUAGCGAGCAGCCAUUGUUUCUAAAGAACUCAGCCUUCAUGUUGACUCACGUUUCUUUGACUUCAUUUUGAGAUAGCAGAAAUCAUUAAAACUGUAAAUAUUUUGUUGCUUGGAUAAGCAUCUUCUGGGAACUUUGUAUCUAUGGUAUAUAAUCAUAGAAUUUUAUAUUUUCAUAUAAAGCUGAUUUUUUUCUAGUUUCAACUCCUUCAUAGUUUUUUUGUGGUGGAUAUGUGAAUACAGCCUUUCUGUGUACUGAAAGUAGCACGGACCAUCAUCACAUUCCAAAAGAAUCCAACGCCAUGUUCUUUCUUUGGGGCAGUGAUUGUGAAAGUUGGAUUUUCUUUUUCAUUCCAUUGUCAGAGUGGGCAAUAGGAAUUAGGCCUAAUCAGUCAUUGAAUACGUC